UACGUAGGCAGCAAGCGUUGUUCGGAGUUACUGGGCGUAAAGGGUGUGUAGGCGGUUCUUUAAGUUUGGUGUGAAAUCUCCCGGCUCAACUGGGAGGGUGCGCCGAAUACUGAGGGACUAGAGUACGGGAGAGGAAAGUGGAAUUCCUGGUGUAGCGGUGAAAUGCGCAGAUAUCAGGAAGAACACCAGCGGCGAAGGCGGCACUCUGGGCUGGUAUUGACGCUGAGGAGCGAAAGUGUGGGUAGCAAACAGG
rnacentral:rRNA from 1 species